rnacentral:rRNA from 1 species
AACGAACGCUGGCGGCAGGCCUAACACAUGCAAGUCGAACGAACCUUUAUGGUGAGUGGCGCACGGGUGCGUGACGCGUGGGGAUCUGCCCUUUGCUUCGGAAUAACAGUUAGAAAUGACUGCUAAUACCGGAUGAUGUCGUAAGACCAAAGAUUUAUCGGCAAAGGAUGAACCCGCGUAGGAUUAGCUAGUUGGUGGGGUAAAGGCCUACCAAGGCGACGAUCCUUAGCUGGUCUGAGAGGAUGAUCAGCCACACUGGGACUGAGACACGGCCCAGACUCCUACGGGAGGCAGCAGUGGGGAAUAUUGGACAAUGGGCGAAAGCCUGAUCCAGCAAUGCCGCGUGAGUGAUGAAGGCCUUAGGGUUGUAAAGCUCUUUUACCCGGGAUGAUAAUGACAGUACCGGGAGAAUAAGCUCCGGCUAACUCCGUGCCAGCCGCCGCCGUAA